AGUCAGAAAAAUAAGUUAGUUUUAGCAUGCAGAUUUCCACAGAUAGUAGGUUUUGAGGCAUCAUAUCACUCUGUAAUGCAAUGGGCCUGGGAAAAUAGCCGGAAUGGAAGCUGAUAGGAGACCCGUCGCCAAGUCCCGAAGAUAGAUGUGAGGGGAGCAUAGUAGUUUCUCAAUGUCCUUCUUGACAGUUUUUAUUUUUGAGGACGGGAGCUGGAG